GACGAAUGCUGGCGGCGUGCUUAACACAUGCAAGUCGAACGGAAAGGCCCUGCUUUUGUGGGGUGCUCGAGUGGCGAACGGGUGAGUAACACGUGAGUAACCUGCCCUUGACUUUGGGAUAACUUCAGGAAACUGGGGCGAAUACCGGAUAGGAGCUCCUGCUGCAUGGUGGGGGUUGGAAAGUUUCGGCGGUUGGGGAUGGACUCGCGGCUUAUCAGCUUGUUGGUGGGGUAGUGGCUUACCAAGGCUUUGACGGGUAGCCGGCCUGAGAGGGUGACCGGCCACAUUGGGACUGAGAUACGGCCGAGACUGCUAAGGGAGGCAGCAGUGGGGAAUAUUGCACAAGGGGCGGAAGCCUGAUGCAGCAACGCCGCGUGCGGGAUGACGGCCUUCGGGUGGUAAACCGCUUUCGCCUGUGACGAAGCGUGAGUGACGGUAAUGGGUAAAGAAGCACCGGCUAACUACGUG
rnacentral:rRNA from 1 species